UACGAAGGGUGCAAGCGUUACUCGGAAUUACUGGGCGUAAAGCGUGCGUAGGUGGUUGUUUAAGUCUGUUGUGAAAGCCCUGGGCUCAACCUGGGAACUGCAGUGGAAACUGGACAACUAGAGUGUGGUAGAGGGUAGCGGAAUUCCCGGUGUGAGCAGUGAAAUGCGUAGAGAUCGGGAGGAACAUCCAUGGCGAAGGCAGCUACCUGGACCAACACUGACACUGAGGCACGAAAGCGUGGGGAGCAAAC
rnacentral:rRNA from 1 species